AUUGAACGCUGGCGGCAUGCCUUACACAUGCAAGUCGAACGGCAGCGGACCUUCGGGUGCCGGCGAGUGGCGAACGGGUGAGUAAUAUAUCGGAACGUACCUUUCAGUGGGGGAGUAACGUAGCGAAAGUUACGCUAAUACCGCAUAUUCUGUGAGCAGGAAAGCAGGGGAUCGCAAGACCUUGCGCUGAUUGAGCGGCCGAUAUCAGAUUAGCUAGUUGGUGAGGUAAAGGCUCACCAAGGCGACGAUCUGUAGCGGGUCGUGAGAGGAUGAUCCGCCACACUGGAACUGAGACACGGUCCAGACUCCUACGGGAGGCAGCAGUGGGGAAGUUUUGGUACAAUGGGCGGCAAGACCUCGAUCCACGCCACUGCCGCCGUGAGU
rnacentral:rRNA from 1 species